AAGAUGCAUUUAUAUGAGUAGUUUAUCUUGUGGUAGAUAAGGAUGAACGAGGGAAGCCUUAUCUGCAAAUAUGAAGAGGGGUGCAGACAUUUUUUUUUUGCAGAAUUGACACAUUUUCCUUCCUAUCCGUCAGAUAUAGAUCGGACGGUCUAUAUUACGGGAUGGCAGGCACACCAUCAUCACCAAUUUUAUUUUUUAUAAGAGUAGAGAUAAUCACGUAUGUGUAAGUGAUUUAAUAAAUGAAUGUAUUUGUUCCAGAAAUCAUGGAGUAGCGGGGGCGGCAAGUGGAUCCCCACUUUUCUAGUACAACGAGAGAUCAUGCGGCACGUGUUUGAGAAUGAUAAGCGCCCAUAAAAGGUCAUUUGCAAGAAUUAAAGUGAGAGAAUUUUUGAAUUUCGAAACAUCUAGAUCAAGUAGGGGAGCGAGGUACAUUGUCGCAUUGGAAUUGCAAUUUGUUCGCCCUCUUAUGCUACAAUAUAUAAACAUAUAAAAAUCGAUAGCAUAAUUUUGAGUUCCAAUCUCAUUUCUGCCGCCAUAUGUUUUACGUAAGUGUUGGCCACACAUGAAAAAUACAAGUAUACAUGUCAAUUUGUGUUAAGUCCCAUAUGUGAGUGAAAUACAUUGGUUUAAUUAUAUCUUUUGAAAGGUUGGCGAUCUAUACGCGAGUAAGAGUGCAUUUGCUUAUCUAUGAAAUUUGUUGGUUCCACAUAAACUCCAACCUUCAUAAAUAUAAUAGAAAAAUACUUAAAAAUAAUAAAGUCUAAUCAGUCAUGUCCCGCUAUGGCAAGCAAGAGGAAACUAAUAGGGUAAUGUUUGCGGCCAGUCGACCGGCUAACGACUCGGCCGGUCCGACGUGCGCCGCAUGAUCGUUCUCGAUCGUGCGACUCACAUGCACGCUGGACACGCGCUGCCUUAUCCUUUUGGACGUGAAGCCUUAUCCUCUGUACGCACGCGAAGCUUCCCCGCCAUUCAUUUCUUCGUGAGCUGAGCAUCUCUCUUCUCCUCAAACCGCACCUCCGGCUAGCGGCACCACCGAUGACCACCACCUCCGCGCCCCGCCCAUGUGAAGCUUCUAGGCGCUUCCCAACCAAUCCCGUCGGCGGCUUUCUCCGGCGAACUCAUCCCUUUUCUCUCGUUACAAGCCGUGCCCAACCCACUCUCCCGCUUCGCGUGUCAGUAGAGGGGGCUGGAUGCCCGAGGUGAUGGAGCGACGGGCGACGGCAGCUGUGCGUGCGUGCGGUGCCGACGAGAGGCGGUGCGGGGGGUGCUGCGAGCGUGGGCAGCGAGCUCUCCGCGGUUGCAAUGCUGGAACCGGCAUCGGCAGGACCUGCAACUGGCCAGGGCAUGUUUUGGAGCUGCAUCCAGCGAGAAGGGGGUGGUAUUGGCCGCCGCCGGCGGCGGCGCUGAGAUGCUGGAACCAGCUUCGUCGGGGGACUGCAAUGAUUGUGUCCGGAGCUGGAACCGAAGGAAGCACGCAAGAUGCAAGCGGGGAGGUGCUGCAAAACUCGAGUGAGCUCGGCGGCGGACGAGGACGGCCGGCGAGGAUGGGGACCGGCGAAGAGGACGGCCGGCGGGGGUGGGGAUAGGCGACGAGGUCAAUCACCGGAGGGGAGAGGAUGCGCGCACCGAGCGGGAGAUGCGAUUCCAGUGAGAGGAAAAAGAAGCUGCGGGGCAAACCCUUUUUUUCCACCAGAUCCAAUGGCCCACGUGGCUCAAAUCCAACGGCCCUGACGCGACCGGCCGAACGGUUGGGCCGGUGCGCCGGCGCAGAUUAGUGCCCAAACGAAUAUGUCCGCAAACGAUGAGUCCAUUCUGAAUCCACUGACCAGUUCCAGCAAAGAGCAUAGCAGCGCUGCAUGCAGUAUGAAAUGUUUGGUUUUCUUUAACACAGUAUAAUCACAGCUGCUUAUAUACACGCACAUACACGCAUUUUUACUCUAUAUGAAAGCAUGCACACUAUCUUAUUCCUAUGAGUAUCUUUGAGAUACUGAGCCGACACAACAUCUAAAAUUGACAAACUCACCACAGUUCACAGGCACCACAUUGUUGACGUCCUCUCUAACUGAACGAAUAUCACUGAAAACCUGAAAUAAAUUUAAGAAAAUGCGAGCACCAGUUUCAAGUUUAGGAUUUAAAUCUUGAUAGGUUUGUUCCACCACACACCACAUGAAACGUAACCAGCCGAGCUACGCGCAUCGCGCAGUUCGCUUUGAAGCGUCUGCUCUCUGAUCGGCGCCUCUGCCCAUACUGUCCACGAGGAAGGCGUGCACGCUGUCACGUUGCUAACACACAGAUCAAAAAGGGGCGCGGUCAAGUUUGGUAGGCCAUCCACGGCUAGCGUCCGACACCAAUCCACCACACAGUGACACUGCAUCCAUGGCCAUCAUGCAUGCAUGUCAUACUCAGGGUAUGGACUUCAGGGAUUUAGAUGUUAGGGAUUUAGGGUUCAUUUGCAUCGUCCUCUACAUUCUCAGGGUUUGAAAUAGACUUCACUUGUCUUCAUUUUCUUCCGCACGUCCGGCGUGUUCAAGAUGAGAAAUGGCGCAUGUUUUUUUGCACCGAAAGGGCGGUCGUCCGUCGAUUUCCCGAGUCUAGAAAAUGUGAGCGUCGUGCCUGGGCAGUGCAUUUGUUCGUUCGAAUUGCAAGGAUAGUGGAGAACUAUUAUAAAUUAUAAAUAAAAUGAAAAAUAGUAGAGGAUAAGCGCUCAGGCAUGGGCGGGAGAGGAUAUGGUGACGUGACACUGACACACAAUCAUAUGCACGAAGACGAUAAGAACAACAAUGUUCUUUGCCCAUAUCUGAGCAUAAUAACCUGUCGGAAACUUUUUUUUCAAUCACACGGGACGGUCGACGUUUGGUUAGGACUUUUUUUAGUCACAACUUAUAAGUCCCAAGUCCCUAAAAAGUCCCUACUUGUUUGGUUCCUGGGACUUAUAAGUCCCUAUAAGAUCAUAUUACAACUAUAAGACCCUAUAAGACUCUCCUUGAGAGUCUUAUUUCAUAAGCCCCAAAUGCCCACUUUAAGUCUCUAUAAGUCCCUCGUGUUUGGUUUAGAUGGGACUUAUAGGAACUUUUUUAAGUCCCUAAACCAAUAAGUAUCUGAAAACAAACACCCUCUAAUGCCGCGCCGUCGCAUCCAUCGUCCAUUUCAUUCAUUCGCACAAAAUGCGCGCGCGAGGGAGAGAGGAUCUACAAGCUCCGGAGUAGCUGCAUUCUUCUUGCUCCGGCCGGGCAUCUAAGACUCGCAAGUACAACGAAGAAGAAUCGACCCUUCUCCCCACGUACCAAGCAAUGCUAUCCGCACUAGAUCAAAAAAAAAAGCAAUGCUAUCCGCACGGGAAAAGCGUGCCCCGCUCAACUCCGGAACACAAAGCGCGCGCGUUUCGGGAAAUGUUUAAAAUCAACCGGCUGAAAAGAGCGUCACGUAAACCGGCUGCUCUGCUCGACACGUGUCCCUGAGAGAACGAGGCCGCCGCUUUACCCCUCGAGCUUAUCUCCUUCACACGGCUGCUCCUCCACACGUUUUCUCCCUCAUCUUCUUUCCUCUUCCCACCUCUUCCGUUGCAUCUGAGAGGGAGAGACGCCCAUGGCGACGCCAACCACCAACCGGGAUGGACGACCACCACCACGACCACUAGCUGAAGUGAAGCUUCGCCGGCGCCCGUCUGGUGCUGCGGUGGAGCUUUGACGGGGCAGGCGGGCAGCGGUGUUGCGAUGGAGCAGGGCCGCGCGGUGGUGGUGACGCUGCAAUGAAGCUUCGCCGGCAGCCGUCGGGGUGCUACCAUGGAGCACGGCUGAGGUUGCAAUGAAGCUCCGGCGAGGUUGCAAUGAAGCGCCACGGCGGUUCUUGGAGCUCCGGCGAGGUUGCAGUGAAGCUCCGACGAGGUUGCAGUGAAGCGCCGCGGCGGUCGUCGGGUCGCGGAGUCGCCGGUGCUGCGAUGCAGCGUCGCCGGAGUUUUUGUUGUUGCUAUGCAUCGUCGCCGGAGUCACCGGUGUUUCUAUGCAGCAUCGCCGGGGUCGUCGCUGCUGCGAUGCAUCGUCGUCGGAGUCGCCGGUGUUUCUAUGCAGCGUCGCCGGAGUCACCGGUGUUGCUAUGCAUCAUCGUAAGAUAUGAGAUGAGGAAGACGAGCUGGGUUUGCCA